rnacentral:rRNA from 1 species
AUACGGAGGGUGCAAGCGUUACUCGGAAUCACAGGGCGUAAAGGAUGCGUAGGCGGAUAAUCAAGUCAAAAGUGAAAUCCCACGGCUUAACCGUGGAACUGCUUUCGAAACUGGUUAUCUAGAAUAUGGAAGAGGCAGAUGGAAUUAGUGGUGUAGGGGUAAAAUCCGUAGAGAUCACUAGGAAUACCGAUUGCGAAGGCGAUCUGCUGGGACAUUAUUGACGCUGAGGCAUGAAAGCGUGGGGAGCAAACAGGAUUAGAAACCCUAGUAGUCC